AAAAUGCAUUCAGGCAAUCAGAAUCAAAUCUCCAUUACUCAUUCACAACCUAAUAGUAUUGACAACUCAUCCAAACCCACGCCUUAUCUUGAAAUACCUUUGCAAUCGUCGAUCGGCCGCUAGAUCCGGCAAUUUCGUUCGGGGAAAUCGUGGAAAUGGUUGAAGCUGUUGCAUCAGUGGCUCUUGAAACCCUUCGUGACCUGUUGAUCGAGUAAGUGAAAGUUUUAUCUGGGGUCGGCGAUCAAGUUGACGAUGUCCGUAGGCAGCUCAACACCGUGCACUGUUUCUUGAAGGAUGCUAGUAAAAGACAAGAUACGGACAACUCCGAAACAAUCCGAAAUUGGCUUAGUGAGCUUCGAGAUCUGGCCACUGAGGCUGAGAUUAUAUUGGAAAGGUAUGCGGUUGAGGAUUGGAAUAGCCUGAGCCACGCCUUUCCCAUUGGAGAGUCGGGCAGCAGAAUUUUGCUCACUACCAGAAAUCAAAACACUGCUUCCACAGGAUACGUUCACAAGCUCAAGUGCUUGAGUGAAGACGAAGGAUGGGAGCUACUUCAAAAGAUAGCACUCCCAAACAACUAUUCACAAGAAGCUUCGAGUAUUGGACGGAAUAAUUUCUGAUGAAGAAAGUCUAUCAAUGAUUGUUGAUCACAUCUUAAAUCAUCAAGACCAAUUUCGUGACAUAAAACUUGAUAUUCAAGAAAUGUGCAAUGUGAAUGA